UUGACCUCGGAUCAGGUAGGAAUACCCGCUGAACUUAAGCAUAUCAAUAAGCGGAGGAAAAGAAACCAACAGGGAUUGCCCUAGUAACGGCGAGUGAAGCGGCAACAGCUCAAAUUUGAAAUCUGGCUCUCGGGCCCGAGUUGUAAUUUGUAGAGGAUGCUUUUGAUGCGGUGCCUUCCGAGUUCCCUGGAACGGGACGCCAUAGAGGGUGAGAGCCCCGUCUGGUUGGAUGCCAAAUCUCUGUAAAGCUCCUUCGACGAGUCGAGUAGUUUGGGAAUGCUGCUCUAAAUGGGAGGAUUAUGUCUUCUAAAGCUAAAUACCGGCCAGAGACCGAUAGCGCACAAGUAGAGUGAUCGAAAGAUGAAAAGCACUUUGAAAAGAGAGUUAAAAAGUACGUGAAAUUGUUGAAAGGGAAGCGUUUAUGACCAGACUUGGGCUUGGUUAAUCAUCUGGGGUUCUCCCCAGUGCACUUUUCCAGUCCAGGCCAGCAUCAGUUUUCGCCGGGGGAUAAAGGCUUCGGGAAUGUGGCUCCCUCCGGGGAGUGUUAUAGCCCGUUGCGUAAUACCCUGGCGGGGACUGAGGUUCGCGCUUCUGCAAGGGAGUCGGCGUAAUUCUACAACAU
rnacentral:rRNA from 1 species